GACGCAGUAGGAUAGGCGAAGCGUGCUGUUGGAGUGCACGUCCAAGCAGUGAGAUUGAGUGUUAGGCAAAUCCGGCACUCUUAAGAUUGAGCUGUGAUGGGGAGAGGAACUUGUUCCUCGAGUCGUUGAUUUCACACUGCCGAGAAAAGCCUCUAGCUAGAAUAACGGUGCCCGUACCGCAAACCGACACAGGUAGUCAAGAUGAGAAUUCUAAGGUGAGCGAGCGAACUCUCGUUAAGGAACUCGGCAAAAUGACCCCGUAACUUCGGGAGAAGGGGUGCUCUUUGAGGUUCACGCUUCGAAGAGCCGCAGUGAAUAGGCCCAAGCGA
rnacentral:rRNA from 1 species